rfam:Aspergillus ruber CBS 135680 unplaced genomic scaffold scaffold00110, whole genome shotgun sequence.
GUCAAAGUAGUUUAACAGGUAAAACGGUAAUUUCAUGAGUUAUGGAUGAGAAUUCGAGUUUCUCCUUUGACU